CAGAUUGAACGCUGGCGGCAGGCCUAACACAUGCAAGUCGAGCGGUAACAGAAAGUAGCUUGCUACUUUGCUGACGAGCGGCGGACGGGUGAGUAAUGCUUGGGAACAUGCCUUGAGGUGGGGGACAACAGUUGGAAACGACUGCUAAUACCGCAUAAUGUCUACGGACCAAAGGGGGCUUCGGCUCUCGCCUUUAGAUUGGCCCAAGUGGGAUUAGCUAGUUGGUGAGGUAAUGGCUCACCAAGGCGACGAUCCCUAGCUGGUUUGAGAGGAUGAUCAGCCACACUGGGACUGAGACACGGCCCAGACUCCUACGGGAGGCAGCAGUGGGGAAUAUUGCACAAUGGGCGCAAGCCUGAUGCAGCCAUGCCGCGUGUGUGAAGAAGGCCUUCGGGUUGUAAAGCACUUUCAGUCAGGAGGAAAGGUUAGUAGUUAAUACCUGCUAGCUGUGACGUUACUGACAGAAGAAGCACCGGCUAACUCCGUGCCAGCAGCCGCGGUAAUACGGAGGGUGCGAGCGUUAAUCGGAAUUACUGGGCGUAAAGCGUACGCAGGCGGUUUGUUAAGCGAGAUGUGAAAGCCCCGGGCUCAACCUGGGAACUGCAUUUCGAACUGGCAAACUAGAGUGUGAUAGAGGGUGGUAGAAUUUCAGGUGUAGCGGUGAAAUGCGUAGAGAUCUGAAGGAAUACCGAUGGCGAAGGCAGCCACCUGGGUCAACACUGACGCUCAUGUACGAAAGCGUGGGGAGCAAACGGGAUUAGAUACCCCGGUAGUCCACGCCGUAAACGAUGUCUACUAGAAGCUCGGAGCCUCGGUUCUGUUUUUCAAAGCUAACGCAUUAAGUAGACCG
rnacentral:rRNA from 1 species